rnacentral:lncRNA from 1 species
GUUUCUUUGCCUCCUGCAGUCUGUGCCUUCCACCAUGAUCAUGAGGCUUCCCCAGCCACACAGAACUGUAAGUCCAAUUAAACCUCUUUCUUUUGUAAAUUGCCCAGUCUCAGGUAUGUCUUUAUCAGGAGCGUGAAAACAGACUGAUAAACCAAAUACCAUGCUUCUCCAAAGCACUCCGCCCCUGGUAUAUUUCCGGGAGAUAAGCCCGUUUUUCAUAUGAGAACAGUGAGCUCCAAGGAGCGGCCUGCCCUUGGCUUCUGUUCCCAGGGCGAGUGUGAAGGCUGAGCUUUUCCGUUCCCUCUUCCAUGGAGCUUGGCUGGUUCCUAUGAACUGCAAGUUAAGGUAGUUGCAGUCUGGCAUCAUGUGGCACAUCAUCACUGUCUCUUCUGCAAAUUUCUGAGAAUAAGAAGAAUUGGUUGAAAAAACUUCUAACAUCUCCAUCGGUUUGUAAUCAGCGAAUACAAUUAUGAAGCAAUUUCCUACCUGUUUUUUUAUUUGAUCCAUGAACUUUUCAAGAGAUGUGUGCUAUUGCUGUUGUGACCAUUAGCUCCCAUUUCUCAGAUGAGGAAACUGAGGCUCAGUGAGCCUUAAAUGACUUGCCCAAAACUAUAAGAUGGAAAUCUCUGCCCAUAAAAAUCUUCCACAGUAAACAGACACUGAUGCAAACACACUGGGCUUCCUUCUAUUACCUCAUCAUGCAUGUGCUCCUUAAAAUUGAUCACCAGUGACUUCCUCUCUUCUCCCUUUCCCUGUGCUUACGUAAUUCCUUUCCUGAAUGACUUAUCUUAGUACCAAGCUUUGUCCUCCUUCCCGAGUAGCCCAGUAUGAAGAGAACAUAAGGGAGACCCAUUUAGUAGUGGGAAAAGUAACUACCGGGUGAAAAUGACGUUGAUGUUUUCCCAACGUCAGCAACACUGCUUAGACUACUACUCCAAUAGUUAAUCAAGCUGGACUUCUAAUGUUAGGGACUGAGUUUUAUGUCCCCUAGUAUGUACUUUCUCUUCUAUAAUAACAAUGAAAAUACAGACCACCCAAUUUGAAAGUGGGCAAAGAGCUUGAAUAGAGAAUUUCUUCAAAGCAGAUAUACAAAUGACCAAUAAGCAAAUGAAAAGAUGCUCAACAUCUCCAACAUUAGGGAAAUGCAGCUCAACACCACAGUGGGAUGCCACUGCACACCCAUAGAUGGCUAUGCCUUUUUUUCUUUUUUUAAAGGAAAAUAGCAAGUGUUAGGUAGGUUGUGGAGAAACUGGAAUCCUUAUACACUGAUGGUGGGAAUGUAAACAACUCAGUUGCUGUGGAAAACAGGUUGGUAGUUCCUCAAAAAGUUAAAUACAGAAUUACCAUGUGGCCCAGCAAUUCCACUCCCAGGUAUAUACUCCAGAAAACUGAAAACAAGUACUUAAAUGCAUGUACACACAUGUUCAUAGCAGCAUUAUUCACAAUAGCAAGGUGGAGACAUUUCAAAUGCCCACAAUUGGAUGAAUGGAUGAACACUGGUGGUACAUACAUACAGUAGAAUAUUACUCAGGAAUAAAAUGGAAUGAACCACUGACACAGGCUACAAUGUGAUGAACCUCAAAAACAUUAAGCUAAGUGAAAGAAGUCAGAUACGAAAAGGUCACAUACUACAUGAUUCCAUUUAUAGGAGCUAUCCAGAAUAAAUAAAUCCAGAGAGACAGAAAGUAGAUCAGUGGUUGCCUGGGGCCUGGGUGGGGAGAGGGGAAUGAGGAGUGACUGCUUAAUGGGUAUGCAGUUUCCUUUUGGGUUGAUUAAAUGUUUUGAAACUAGAUAGAGGUGAUGGUUGCACACCACUGUGAAUGCACUAAAUGCCACUGAAUGGUCCACUUAAAAUUAAACUGGUUUUAAGUCAUGUGAAUUUCACCUCAGCUGAAGAAAAAAACACAAAAAGCCAUGGAACCCCAAAGCUACAGUAGGGUUGUUUGUUUCCAGAAAGACGCCCAGCAGUGCAGGGGUCUGUUUGAAACAAGAACCUGAGCCAGCUGAGCAACUAGGCCACUAAUGAGCUCCCCUCCUCCCCGGAAGCAAAUGUUUCUCCUCCUCCUCCUCCCAGCCAUUCAUUAGGCUCCAACCUGCUACUUGUCAGGUAGCAUUAGUUGUACCGGUAUCCUGGGGACCGGGGUGCCCUUGCUCUUCCUGGUUCCUUAUUUAUUAUGUUAAUGAGAACAUAACCAAGCUUCUGAGGCAGAAAGUCUGAGAUGGAUAUUUGUGCUCUAGUCAGUGGGCAGGUGGUCUCCACAGGGUGCUGUGGAAGGACUCCCACCAAGAUGUCUGGUUUCAAACCCAACUAUGUCACACACUUGCUCUAUAUUCUUGAGCAAGUCAGUUCUGAGGCUGAGUUUUCUUACCUUAAAAUGAGACUAAACAAAAUUUUUCUUAAUUAAUUUCAAUGUCCAGAAACAGAUCGCCUUGGUAACCCCUCACUUGCAAUCUCCCUGGGUCUGAGCCACCAUCAUCUUUUCCUUGACAAAUGCAAUGGCCUCCUAACUGAUCCCCCUGCGUCUGCCUGUGCCCUCUUCCCAGCAUAAGACCGGCUCUUUCAGACAUAAGUCAGACCACCACAUUCCUCCUCAAAGCCCUCCAGAGAGUCCAGGCACGGUGGCUCAACACCUGUAAUCCCAGCACUUUAGGAGGCAGAGGCAGGCAGAUCACUUGAGGUCAGGAGUUUGAGACCAGCCUAGCCAACGUGGUGAAACCCUGUCUCUACUAAAAAUACAAAAAUUAGUCAGGCAUGGUGGUGGGCACCUGUAAUCCCAGAACUUGAGGGGCUGAGGCAGGAGAAUUGCUUGAAUGAGGCGGAGGUUGCAGUGAGCAGAGACUGUGCCACUGCACUCCAGCCUGGGCGACAGAGCCAGACUCCAUCACAAAAAAAAACAAAAACAAACAAACAAAAACCAACCCUCCCAGAGCUCUCAGCUCACUCGGUAAAAGCCAGGUCCUGACACGGGCAUUCGUGGUCCCACACGAGAGCCUGCCUGCUGCUUCUUCAAUCACACCUCUUACCACCCAUGGCCCCUUGCUCACUCCACUCGAAACCCGGAGGUCUCCUUUCUGUUUCUGCCUCAGGACCUUUGCACUGGCUGUCUUCCAACCUGAAAGGUUGCUUUUGCCCUUGGUUCCUCCAGGUCUUGACUCAAAUGUCAUCUUACCAGUAAAGUCUUUUCACCUUGGCAGUUUUUAUCCCUCUUUCUUGCUCAGUUUUUGUUUUAUAUUACAUUGCACUUAACACCAUUCCAUACUUAAUACCAAACAACGUCUUCUUUGUUUAUUAUCUGUCUCCCCCUAAAAUGUAAGUUCCAUGAGAUUUUUUUUUUUCAUUGCUAUAUCCAAAAUGCCUAGAGUUGUUACUGGAACAUAGUAGGUGGUCUGUACACAUGAACCAAAUGAAUGAGUUAUUUUGAAGAUCAAAGACAAUGAAUGUGAAAGUACUGUACAAAUGUACAAUGUUUGGUUAUUCAUAUGAAAAUGAAGUUUCCUUGAUACACCAAAGUCUACACCAGUAGAAUCGAAUUUGUGAUGUUUGAAAAAAGCAAAUAACAAAAAUAAAAAUUUUCAGUUGGAAAACUGCCGUGAGCCUCAAAGGAUAUUUUAGGAUCUGACAGAGCCUGUUUCUAGACUCUCAUCCCAAAUGGCACUGUUUAGUCAGCUUCCCAGAACUCAUUUCAUCAACCUUAACAGAACCGACUUCAUAUGAGCAGGUUUCUGACGUGUGUAAGUCGAAGGAGCCUGGCUAUUUCAUAGCUGGUGUGGGAUUGUAUGGAUAUCAAAUUGGCUUUUUAUUUGCUACUGCAAAAUUAAAUUAGGAAUGAAAGUAAUUUGGUUCAAUGAAAAUAAAAAACUAGACUCAAAGUCAGGGGAAAAAAGGCCAAAUCAGACAGAGGUCAGGACUGCCAGGAAGGGUCCUUCUUAAAGUCUUAUAAAUAGAAGGUAAUUUCUAAAAUGUCAAGGGUUUCUCGGCUCAAUUAAAAUUAUUUGUAGCACAAAUGGCUGAGACCAGGGAGUGCUUUAAACCAUGGAAAUGCAGUAACAAGAAUAAUAAGCAACUAGGUUAUUGUUGUUCACGAGAUGUCUUAUUUAAAUGUUGAAGAAUUUCAAUCAUGUCAGAUGCCAGAAAGGGCCAGUUAUAAAGGGAACGAAGCUGUUGUCCUUCAGGUUCUUUUCCUCCUACUUUCACUUAGAAAUAGGAAACAGCCAAGAGCCAUUUUGCAAUCGAAACAACUUCAUUUCCCAUGUCCAUUUGGAAGAAAGAGCCAUAACUCAACUAAUACACGUUUAGGACAGGUUGGGGAAUGGCUGUGAUGCCGCAGCCCUGAGCUAAGAGCACAUAACUUCUUUCUAAAUGUGUGUUGGACUCCUUGGCUGUCAUCUAUUAAAGGAUGAAUUUUGCAAAUAUUAUGAACUUAUCCAUUAGGGAAGCAAAAACAAAUAUCUGAUAGACUCAGCUUUUGUCACAGAUAAAUAGUUCUUUACAUAAGCAAGCCCAAGAGUGUUUGGCACAGCCUCGCAAUGUCCAGUGAAAUGUCAAUUCAAGCCAGAGGUGUGAUUGUUUAUUGUCAGCAUAGACUGUCAUCACUUAUGGUCAUAAUCAGGAAAACUGCUGAUGAUUGAUACCGAUGGCAAUGAUGAUUACUCUUGCAAUAAGCUUAAUUAAAAUAAUGAAGUGCUACUGCAUGUGACUUAGCUGUGGCACACGAAGGAUGUUGUAUAGGCACCACAAAGAAGUCACCAGGCAGCAUGGGGUUCAUCUUUCAAUCCUGACACACCUGGGAAGCCCCAAGGUAUUGGGCGUGAUUCUGGAGGUCCUCUGCCUUCUCUCCUGGGAUCACAGUUCCUCAUUCCUCCUGCAUACAUAAUUGCUGGAAUAAGUGCAAUGACAGAGGUCUGCUGGUUACUGGUUUCAGCUGCAAAUCCAGCCCAGGAGAUGGUCUGUCUCCUCCUGGUCAGUCUUCCCGCGGAGCUACUUAUCAAACUCCAUGGGGAUGGCGAUUUAACCUGGGUACUACGAGUGGCUUCAAUCUCCCCCACCACUGGCAACUGACCCCAUCAAAGGUGAGGGAAACCCUGGAGAGAGAAAUGCUUCUGACCUCCUGGAACACUGGCUCAGAAAUCUCACCCUCCAUUGGCCUGCACCAUCCAGUUCAUUUUUCUUCCCAGAGUUUCUUGCUGCUGACUUUUCCUCUGUUCUUCAGCACCUGGGGUGUAGGGGAGAGGGGAGGAGAAAGAAUAAAAACCUUUGAGGGACAUUUGAACCACCCAGAAGGCCAGCCUCCAACCCAGCCCUGAGACCAUUUCCCAUAAUUGGUGAGGGCCUUAAAAACACAAACAGCCCUCAUCCACGGGGGGAAGAUCAAAGGAACAUUUACCCACUCACUUAACUCAGAAAAAAUAAAACACCCAGCGCAAAUUGUGGGCUUUUAACUAUCUUGCGGGACCAAAAACCUAAUCAGAGUACAGAGGACUAUAAACAUCUAGGAAGGGAAGCAGACAGUCAUUAAAAUUUGAUUAUGAGACUAGCAGCUCUGAUAGGGCCUUGUAGGCUCAGAGAAGAAAAAUCCCGGACUGCCUGGCCACCUUCCCUGCAGAGGGGUCUGCGUGAGAGCGGAGAGAGUGAGUGAACAAAAUCAGCCUGGAACAUCUUUUCCUUCACAUGUAUAAGAAUUUGGAGCCACACAGGCCUCUGCAACUUGUCUCCUAUUAAGAGAAAAAUUGGCCUCUGCAGUUAAUGGAUUUUUUUUUUUUGUAUGAGCUUGCUCAUGAAACAUUAAUCAUAUGUCCAUCACAGGAAAAUGCAAACCUUCACAGAGCUUACCAUAGUGACAUCUCCGGCUACUUGGAAUUGGGAUUUGUUUCAUUCAUUCAUUCACUCAGGCAUUCAGCAAAUAUGUAUUGAGCAUCUGCUUUGUGCCAAGCUCUGUUCUGGGUGCUGAGGAUAUAACAGUAUGCAAAACAAAGAUCCUUGCCCUGAUGGAUCUGAGGAAGUGCUUCCUGGACAAACUGGGAUUGGAAUCAGAAGAAAUAUCAGGGCAAGUUAUUAAAAGGAAAGAGGGACAGGAUUGGCAUUUCUAGAGUGCCACCCCGUGACCAGUACAAUGCUGGUGGCUUACGGGUGUUCUCGCUUUAAAUUAAAGAGUGCCAGCCAGGCGUGGUGGCUCACACCUGUAAUCCCAGCACUUUGGGAGGCCGAGGCGGGUGGAUCACUUGAGGUCAGGAGUUCCAGACCAGCCUGGCCAACGUGGUGAAACCCCAUCUCUACUAAAAAUACAAAAAAUUAGCCGGGUUUGGUAGCCUAUGCUGGUAAUCCCAGCUACUCAGGAGGCUGAGGCAGGAGAAUCGCUUGAACUGGGAGGCAGAGGUGGUGGUGAGUCGAGAUCAUGCCACUGUACUCCAGCCUGGGCAACAGAGCAAGACUCUGUCUCAAGAAAAAAAAAAAAAAACAAAAAAAUAGUGCCUUCUGUUGGCACUCAUCUGAUUGCAACAAGUUAAUGCAGUCAAGGUCAGAAUUGCUGAGGUCAGAACCUCAGGCUGUUUGUCACCCCAAUUCUAAAGUGCUCUCUGGAGUCUAAAUGACUUCAAGAAGUCACUCUUGGAUGAAGGUCUUGCUUGCAGCAAAGUAAAACCACACAUUUUCAGGGACCCACCUCUAGUCUAUUAAUUAAUUAGUCCAUUAAUUGUAUCACCCUUGGCACUAUUAACAUCCUGGAUUGAACAGUCUUCUGCUGUGGGGGGCUGUCCUGUGCAUUGCAGGGUGUGUAGCAGCCUCCUUGGUCUCUACCCACUAGAUGCCAGGAGCAUCACCCCAGCUGUGACAACCAAAAAUGUAUGUCUCCAGACUUUGCCCUAGAUGACAAAAUCACCAUGGAUUUUUGUUGUUGUUGUUUUGUUUUUUGAGACAGAGUCUUGCUCUAUCGCCCAGGCUGGAAUGCAAUGGCACGGUCUCGGCUCACUGCAACCUCCACAUCCCGGGUUCAAGAGAUUCUCCUGUCUCAGCCUCCUGAGUAGCUAGGAUUACAGGCGCACACCACCACGCCCGGCUAAUUUUUGUAUUUUUAGUGGAGACAGGGUUUCACCAUGUUGGCUAGACUAGUCUCAAACUCCUGACCUCAUGAUCUGCCUGCCUCGGCCUCCCAAAGUGCUAGGAUUACAGGCGUGAGCCACUGUGCCUGGCCUAAAAUCACCAUGUUGAGAACCAGUGACCUAAUGUGCACUGAAUUAACCUUGAAAAUACAUGUGUUUAAGAGAAACUCACAGAAACCUCAGCACUCAUUCAGCACCACUCAUUCAGCCACUCAUGGAGCCACUCCCGUGUGCCAGGGCAGGACAAGGAGACUCUAGGUGAGAUCACAGCUGUAUCCCACCCCCUGGCCCAUAGCGAGACUGUCCUCUUUGGCUUCCUUGCCACCAGCCUGCCGCCUGCCACCUGCCACAGCCUCUCCAUCAUCCACACAGUUUCUAUAAAGAGAUCUGAACUAUCACUUAUCUCUUUAAGACCCUCAACAGCCUUAGAGGAUAAAAUCCCAAUGCCCGUUAGCAUACUCGAGACCCUUCACCAUCUGGCCUCAGUCACCUGCGUAGCCCCCUCUACCCCAGUCUCCGACUGAAUGGUCUAGUCCCCUUCACCUUCUCUGUCUGUGCCCUAAAUGGGAUCAUGCCUCCUCUACCCUGACCACACCCUUGUCUCCACCCCUGCCUUGGCUCCAAUUGCUCACUUUUUUUUUUUUUUUGAGACGGAGUCUCGCUCUGUCACCCAGGCUGGAGUGCAGUGGCAUGAUCUCGGCUGACUGCAAGCUCCGCCGCCCGGGUUCACGCCAUUCUCCUGCCUCAGCCUCUCCAAGUAGCUGGGACUACAGGCGCCCGCCACCACGCCCGGUUACUUUUUUGUAUUUUUAGUAGAGACGGGGUUUCACCGUGGUCUCGAUCUCCUGACCUCGUGAUCUGCCCGCCUCGGCCUCCCAAGGUGCUGGGAUUACAAGCGUGAGCUACCGCGCCCGGCCCUGACUUUUUAAAAAUUAAUUUUUGUGAGUACAUAGUAGGUAUAUAUAUUUAUGGGGUACAUGAGAUGUUUUGAUACAGGCAUGUAGCAUGUAAUAAUCACAUCAGAGUAAAUGGGGUAUUCAUCACCUCAAGGAUUUAUACUUUGUGUUACAAACAAUCCAAUUAUACUCUUUUAGUUAUUUUUAAAUGUACAAUUAAAUUAUUAUUGACUGUAGCCACGCUGUUGUGCUAUCAAAUACAAGGCCUUAUUCAUUCAUUCUAUUUUUUGUACCCAUUAACCAUCCCCACCUCCCCCUAACUCCCCACUAUCCCUUCCAGCCUCUGGUAGCCAUCCUUUCAUUCUCAGUCUCCAUGGGCUCAAUUGAUUUGACUUUUAGAUCCCACAAAUAAGUGAGAACAUAUGAUGUUUGUCUUUCUGUGCCUGGCUUAUUUCACUUAAUGUAAUGACCUCCAGUUCCAUCCAAGUUGUUGCGAAUGACAGGAUCUCAUUCUUUUUUAUGGCUGGAUAGUACUCCAUUCUGCAUGUACCACAUUUUCUUUCUCCAUUCAUCUGCUGAUGGACACUUAGGUUGCUUCCAAAUCUUGGCUAUUGUGCAGUUCCUCACCUUUAAGCCACAGAGGCUCACUGAGCCUUUAAAGUUCAGAUCCAGUUCCAACUCUUCAGCUAAGUCUUUCUCAACAUUCCUUUCAAGCCUUUAAAAACAAAUGGCUUCUGGAACUACAUCCCCAUAGUACCCCGCUCACACAUCUGCUGUGCAUUGUGCCUCAGCUGGCCUGUUCUUCCAUCAGUAAGUGUGUGCUGAGGAUCUGCUAUGCGCCAGGCACUCUUCUAGACCCCGGGAGAGAGAGGUGAACAAAUCUGGCAAGAUCUGCCUUUGCCAAGCUUACACUCUAGAUAGGGAGCUAGAAAAGAAAAUAAAUGACCAAACAUAGUCAGAGGGUCAUGGUGCCAGGAGUUGUACUCGGUUUUGGGAGUAGAACUGAGCUAGGCCCAAUCCCUGCUUUCAAGGAGCUUAUGGUCCUGGGGAUGGGGAGGGAGGGGAGCAUGAAAUGAGGGAGUAGAGGUGGGGGGUUAUGGGAAGAGGAGGAAAGAGCAUCUAAAUACUGGGCCCAAGUGUGAGGAGUCCCCAAAGUCAUGGAGAGGUCAAUGAGCGAUGGCCAGAAACCACAGGGAAGGCUGAUUUAGAAACUACUGGAGAACCUUCUGAGAGGGUCAGGACGUUGACAAGGUAGAAUGCAUUCUAGGUAGGCCCAGCCUGAGAGAGAAGAAAAAGAGAUAGUUUCCAGAAAUGCUUAGAUGGUAUCCCCAUCCAAAUUUACCUCAGUCCAGAAUUUUCCCCUUUGCUUCAAGGCCACUUGACGAUAGUGGUCAAGACAGAACUGGAAGUCCUAAGGUCAUAUCCCUGAUUCAUAUCCUGUGCCUGAAACCCUGCUACUUCCUGAAUUCCUGUGCUCCUCGGGUAAGACUUCCUCGUGGAGAUGGAGCUAAAGAAACUAAAAGACACUCCCACCCUUGUUAGGAUAGACUUUAUUUGCACAUAAGGUCAGACAAAUUUCCAUAAUGCCACCUGCUAUGGACUGAACAUAUUCCUGCAAAAUUCAUGUGUUGAAAGCUACUCCCCAAUGUAAUGGUAUUAGAUGAGGUUUGAGGAGGUGGUUUGGUCAUGAAGGUGGACCCCUCAAGAAUGGGAUUAGAGCCCUUACAAGUGGCUGAAGCAACCAGAGUGUUCCUUUUCCAUGCGAGGACAUAGCAAGAAGGUCCCACCCAGGAGCCGUAAGCAAGCCCUCACCAGACACUCAAUCUGCCUUCAAUGUGGACUUCAAGGUCUGUGGGAACUGUGAGAAAUAAAUUUCUGUUGUAUAUAAGCCACUCAGCAUAUGUAAUUUUAUUUUAGCAGUCAGUUCAAAUGGGCUAGAUGCUACGCUUGAGGGGACCUCCAGGAAUAGAUAAAGGCUGUGUCCCAUGUCUCCUGCAAAGCAAGAAGUACACCACAAUAUAUAAAAUAAAAAGCCAAAAAUCAUCCCAAGAAGUCGACAUUAUAUCAUCAUUAAGACCCAGUUGGUCUUUACUUGCCCUGUUUUCCAUGGUUUGUCUGAAUUCUCUCCCACCUUCCCACCAUGCCAAGACUGCAGGGGUGUGUUGACUUUCAUUGCCUUGAAAUAGUUAAUCUUUGCAACCAAGGUUCCAAAUGGGAGGCUUAAACUGGGAAUCAGCUCACUCUGUGUGUAGGUCAUUUAAGAGCUCAAUCUCAUCUUUGAAAUAUAGAUUAACUAGGAGAGUAUGAGUUCAGCAUUUCUCUAUAAUGUUGUUUCAUUGAUCCUGCGGGCCAACUGGACAUGGCUUCAGAUGGAUACCUAAAAAUUAGUUUUAAAACUUUCCCAUCUUUUAAUAUUUUAUAACCUGUCAGAAAAUCAAUUAUGGACUCUGCCCCCUUUCAACGCUUGGUUUCAUAGGAGCUGAUGUUUAACCAAAGCAAGGUUCUUUCCUCUCCUUUACAAAAAGCAAUGGACAAGUUUAGAGUAAAUGAUGACUUCAGGGAAUUUCUUGGAUUUGUAAAGAUUUAGAGAUGAAUUGAAUAGCUUUGACCUGCCAAGUCCACAGCUUGGGUUUCUCUCUCUCCUGAGCCAUAGCCAGCAAAUGGUUUCCCUAAACACUGGGAAAGAUCAGGGAUCCAGAGGUCAGUAUUGUGGGAACCCAGUCAUAAUUUAAACUUGUCAAAUAUCUUGAUAUAUUUCUUCAAGCCCAGUGAAUCACAAAGGGCCUUUCUCCAAAACCUGUCCUUCCUCUUAUGCACACACAUGCACAUGGAGCACAAUCUUUCAGGUUUAAAAAAAUUUUUUUUUCAUUUUUUAGUUUAGGAGGAUUUAAGGGAAGAAUAAAGAUUAGGAGAUAUGCCAGAGCGAUUUUUAUUUUUUCUUUUUCUGUAUUUCAUAACAUUUCUAAUAUGAACAUAUAUUAAUUUUGUAAGAGAAAAUAAAGUUAAAAAAAAAAGAACCUAGGUAAAGUCACACUAACAUAACACUAAGAAUCCAUGUUGAAAGAAAGUGGAAUUAAUUUUAGGUUAACAAUAAAAAUUUCAACUUCCAUAGCAUGCAUACUCCAAUCACUUCUGAAUGGCCAUAUUCAUCAAAAUGAACUAUAGUUUGUCCCAUGAAAAUAGGUAGAAGCCAGGAACCGUGGUGCACAUCUAUAGUCCCAGCUACUUAAGAAGCUGAGCCUGGAGGAUCCCUCAAGCCCAAGAGUUCAAGGCUGCAGCGAGCCAUGAUCGUGCCACUGCACUCCAGCCUGGGCAACAAAGUGAAACCCUGUCUCUAUUUAAAAAAAAGAAAGAAAGAAAGAAAAUAGGUAGAUUAAGCAUUCAUGUUUAAGAAAUGGGUAAGGAAGAAAGAGAGAGAGAGAGGAAAGGAAGGAAGACAAGAGGGAGGAGAAAGAGAUAAAUCCUGGCCAGGAUGAAAGGGGAGAAAAGGAAGGGGAGUUGUAGAAUGAAAAAGGAAAGUGGAUCGAGUCAGAUGCUAUUGAACUGAUAAAGUGUUCAGUUCUGUUGGGGAAAUUCCAGCUGGCCUCACACCCAUGUUUAUUGCAGUAGGUAGCAGCAGCAGUAUAAUACCUCUCAUCCCUGGUAGUACCCAUGGCACAACUGCACAUUAUGCUGUAAAUGGAAGCAGAACACUUGCUAUCUUUAUUGUGCUGACAUUUAAUGACUAGAAGAGGCCUGGGAGAGAGAUACCCACGAGAUCCUGCCUUUGUCACUGAGUUUUUGGUAGCCAUUCACUGAACAUGAUCAAAUUUAACCACCCAGUGUAAAGGAUUUUACCUGCUGGUCAGAGGAACAACUCAGCAUUUGGAAGAACAUUUAAUACUGUACGGCGGCGUUGGCCUUCAUGCUGAGAGACAAGCGCACAUCUCAAGGCCUACCCUGAACCAAUCACUGGAGGAUGGUUUAAUUGGUUAAUCAUAUAAAUUACAAUCACUUAAUCAUUUUAAGCACCAUCAGCCAAUUAGCUCAGAAUUAUGGGCUCUGAGGUAACAGUCAUGCAAAUGUUUGUUCCACUGCAGGCUAUUAACAGCCAUAUUUUCUCUAUCAAGAUGACAGAGACUGAUGGGUGGGGGAAGAAAAGGAAAGAGAGCAUUUGUUUAGUUUAAACUUCUUUCCUGUUGGGUUAUAAUGAAGCAUUCAGUGGGGAGGAGCGCCAUGUGCAGUGAUUUCUGUAUCCUACUCAAUGUGAGUCUCCGAGUGGAUUGGAGGGAGGCCCCUGAGCAAAGAACUGCAAGGAAUGGCUUCAAAACUGCUGAAUCAAGACUGCGCAGGAGUUUAGCCUACUCUUGCUGCCAGGUGCUGGCUUUGUUGACCACCUGGUGUGCUCAGCCAUAAUACAGAUAAAUUGAGGACUGGCUGGGCACGGUGGGUCACACUUGUAAUCCCAGGAGUUUGGGAGGCCGAGGCUGGCGGAUCACUUGAGCCCAGGAAUUUAAGACCAGUCUGGGCAACAUGGCAAAACCCCAUCUCUACAAAAAAAAAAAAAAAAAAAAACACCCAAAAAUUAGCUGGCCACGGUGGCACACACCUGUAGUCCUAGCUACUCAGGAGGUUGAGAUGGGAGGGUAGAUUGAGCCCAGGAGGUCUAGGCUGCAGUGAGCUGUGAUUGCACCACUGUACUCUAGCCUGGGCAAUAGAGCCAGACCCUGUCUCAAAAAAAAAAAAAAAAAAAAAAAAAAAAAAAGAAAGAAAAAGAAAAGGAAAGAAACUGAGGACCAAAAUGAGGACAUGACUUUUGUGGCUGCUUUUUCUCCACCAAGCAACAAAGAGUGUCCACUAAUCAUGCAGGAGAAUAGAUCAAGUUCAGACAGAGCGUCCCCAUCUACGAUAACCAUUACUAUAUACUAACAAUGAAGAAAAUAAAACAGCUCUGGAAAGCAAGGUGAGUCAUCGUCAGCCGACCAGAAGCUGUGAACACCUGAACGUUUGCCAGUGUGGGCGUAGAGGAGCUGUUUGUGCUCAUCAGUCCCUGGUUUAGGGCCUGGUACAUGGUAGCUUCCCAGUAAACUCUUGUGGAUGAAUUAAUGAUUAGUGGCCAAAUGUGAACGUAAGAAGCAGGGAGAUGGAGGAGCACUCAUCUGUUUGAUGUGGCUGUGCUCUGCCAGCGUGCCUGUGCAAGUGUGUGUAAGACAGCUGGACCCUGCAGUGGAGUCUUUGCCGGCUUCUGGCUCCGGCAGAGCCUAGUGUAACUGCGCUUUCUGUCGGGUGGUCAGUUGAGUAGACUGGGUCAUUUGCUAGCCUGCGAUUGUAAUAUUUGCAAGUGCUGUGAUGGUAAGGAACAUCAGAACUUCAAAGAUUACUUUUGUCAGGAAUGUGUAGGAAGCAACAUGGUUUUGUGGUCCCCAGUCACUUUGUGACUACGGCAUUGUGGUCUUCAGACUUCACCUGUCUUGACUGAUUAAUUAAAGUUGGGGGUGGGACUGCUCCCAGCCUCUCACCAUUUCCCAAGUGCACGCGCACGCGCGCGCGCGCACACACACACACACAGAGGUACAUGCAACAUAUUUGUCAUAAAACUUCAUGCAGUCAUUAAAUAAUACAUACUGGACUUUUAUGUGCCAGAGAUCAUGCAAGGGACCAGGAAAACCGCACAGAACACAUAGCACUUGCCAUGUGAUGGCAAAGUAUGGUCAAGUGCAGAGAGGAGAGGAAGACUCCUGAAGGCUGACAUAAUCAAGGAGAACUUCCCAGAGGAGGUGGGGAUUGAUCUAGGGAGAAAUUAGAUAGACAAAGAGAUGAAAGUAGGGUACUUCAUUGCACUUGUCAUAUUGACCUAGACUUAAAGCUUCAGGGAGAAAGUUUUCCAAAUUAGGAGUUUUAAUUUCCUUAAGGAAGUAACUGGCCUUGUUUUAUCUUGUUUACACAUGUCCCGGAGGUGCCUUGCCCGCAGGCAGCAGGAAAGGGUUCCUGGUAACUCCCUGUCUGACCUGAGCCAGAGGCUUGUCUCCCUCUCUGGCCUUGCUUUUUCUUCCUUAAACAGGGAAAAAAUGAUAUUGACCUACCGUUGUGAGGGAAAACUGAUACAAAAUAUGACAACACACUUCAGAGAGUGAGGUGCUCUUAGAAAAAAGAAAAGCCUAACGAUAAGUAUGCUGAGACACAGAAAACAAUGGGUGGGAAUAGAAAAUUGGACUAAAAUCAUAGAAAGAGGUUUUAAAGAUUUUCUCACUUCAGCAUUUACAACACUCUAUUAUUGACUGUAGAUUUUUUUCUUGCACUUGAUUAGUCAGAAACCAGGCGAACACUCUCUAAAAUCCUUGUACAGGUCAGACACUAGCAGAGUCCAUAUUCCUAAGGACCGAGCUGUUGAGCCACUCCCAUGUUUGAUUACUUCCCUUUUAGUUUUCAUGCACACUCAGCUUGCACUAUGUUUAUUUGCCCUUGAAAGUAUGAAGUCAUUUUGUUUGUCUCUGGGGAUUCCUCACACUCCCCACCCCUGUCACUGCCUUUGCCCCAAAAUAGGUUCCUAACUUCCUGGGGGACGUGUUUAAUGAGGAUGUCUUGGCAAGAGAACUCCCUUAAGAGAUCUUAUAACAUCAGAGCUGAGUCUGACUCCAGCCCCGAUGAGAUGUGGUCAGCUCACAUGCCCAGUGGGUUCCAAUUCCUCCCACCUUUCAUGGUUCAGGAUGGAGUUGAAACUCACCCUGGGAGUUCCCUGUACUCUUCUGGCUUGAUUUAUAUAGCAUAGAAUAGUUUGUGUCUUUGAGUUUCCCCAGAAGUAGACCCAGAGACAAGGGUUCAAAUGCAAAUGAUUUCUUUGGGCAGGGAAGGGAGUAUCAGCAGGGGAGAGGGGAAACGGGACAGGGGAGGCAGCCAGUAAAAGGUGCGUGAGUAAGCCAGCUGCCCCAGUGGGCAGCUGGAGCCGAGUCUAGGAAAUGGAGUAGGACAUAGCCCAUAAUUAGACCUCCAGAGGUGAGCACACUGGGACAUUUAGACACCAACUCCUGUCAGUCAUUGGUUGAAGGCAUUGAGGAGGGGUUGUUAAUUCCGAGGAGAGGUGCUAGCAGCCGGAAGUCAUCUGUCUUUUGGGGAGCACCCGGAAAUGGUGGGGUCUGAGGGAUGUGGAUGGGACAGGAAGAGUAUCUGUUAGGAUUUGCAUCAUAACAUUUAUACUUUCUUGCCUAACGGUCCAAGUUCAGGGACAUAGUAGCAGACUUAUAGCACAAUUACAAGCUUAUAACAUGAUCGCAAAUUUACACCAGGAGCCAGAGGAUGACGAAAACAGCCCUUUGUUUCCCCUUUGGAUCAUUUAUCACAGGAGACUGGGCCCACCCACUCAGACCCUGGAGGGGAGGCUUGUUUGUUGGUUUCAUUCCUCUUGCUGAUGAUUGUGUCCACUUGGCCAUAUGUCCCGGUCUCAGCCAAUGAAACCUGAGAGAAAGUUGAGGGUGGACGUGCGGGGAGUCUGGAAAACAGUGUUCUUGCUCGUAAGAGAGAUACCUGGAUGAGAGCAUCUCUCUUUUUUGCUAGACGUCUUACAGUCGGGUUCUGAUGCCUGGAACUUCUGCACCCACUUUGCCAUCAUGUGGGGUAAUCACAUCCAGAGGGCAGGAUAAUAGAAAGAUGGAAAACAGGAAACCCUUGGGUCUUUGUGAGCCUCUGAGUUACAACCCUGGAGGCACCCGCCUUUGGACUUCUUGUUCUUUUAGUUCAAGACACUUUUGGUUGGGUUUCUUUCAGUUUAAGACACUUAUAUUCCUUGUGCCCAAAAGCAUCCUAAAUGAUACAAUGUCAGGUAACCGCGUGACUAGUGAGGAGAACCCCUACCAUAUAUGAAAGCAAGUGAGUGUGGGACUGCAUGGAUAGAGUGAGUCAGGCUGGACGCCUGCUCCCAGCUUGUGUGUAGCUGUUUCAGUCAGCUUGGACUGCCACAGCAUAAUAUCACAGACUGGGUGGCUUAAACAACGGUAACUUAUUUUCCUAUAGUUCUGGAGGCUGGAAGUCCAUGCUCAGCAUGUCAGCAGGGCAGGUUUCUGGUCAGGCCUCUCUUCCUGGAUUUCAGAGGGCCACCUUCUCCCUGUGUCCUCACAUGUCCUUUCCUCUGUGCCUGUACUCCUGCACAAAGCACUUCUGCAUGACAGUGUGACGGUUGUCUUGACAAAAAGUACUGGUGUGAUUGAUGAAAUUGGAGAUAACAGUAAUGGAUAUAAUUUUUUAAUAUCCUAUAAUAAAAUGUUGAAAGUAUAUUUUCCACAUGACCAAUGUAUGAUGUUUCAAAAUUGUGUGUGGGUAAGUGAUCUCAUCAAAGUGAAAGAGAUACCAAUACAUUGUAAUGUAACAGAGUAUGAAAAGUUCAUUGAUAAUGGUUUUAGAUUCCACAUUGCAACUAACAUUUAAGAAAGUGCUACUUGUCAAGUUUUGGUGUAAUAUCAAAGAAGAAUUAUCUGGAAUUAUCUGAAAAGCUAGUAAUAUGUAAGACCAGAUUUUCUUUAUAUAUGUCAACCAAAACAACAAAACAUAUUGCAACAGAUUAAAUUUAGAAGAUAAGAAAAUUGAACUCACCUCUACUUAUUCAGACAUCAAAGAGACUGGCAAAAAUAAAAAUUAAUGUUACACUUCUCACUAAUUUUUUUGUUUUAGAAACAUUUUUCAUAAAAUUUUAUUAUUUCUGUUGAUGUGAAAUAGGUUUAUUAUUGUUAUUUUGAAAUGAAUUAAUAGAUACAUACUUUCUUAAAUCUUAAGAUAUAGUAUGGUAAAUAUUGAUAAAUAUAGCCUAACUAAACAAAAGCUUUUCAGAGUUCAUGAUAAUUUUUUAAUCCAGUAAAGAGAUCAUGAGACUAAAAAGUUUGAGCAUUUCUGACAUAAAUUAAUGAAAACCGUCUGAAUAGAUAGCUCUGCCAGGGUUCUCAGUUGCAAACAACAGAAACCCCUCUAGCUAGCCAGUUCAAGCAGAAAAGAAAUUUAUUUAAGGAUGUUAGCUCCCCAAAGCUAGAUGUCUCCUCCAGCACCUUUCUGGAAAAAUGGACUCCAUCCUUCUUGCAGAGUUCUCUUCCACAUCAGAGCCUCAUGGGGGAACCUCCCACAGUCAGGGACACAGGCUCGGAGCUCCUAGAAAAGCAAGAGACUAGAAACGUAAGUUCUGACGGCAUCUCGGGGAGGUGUGGGAAUUUCACAAUGUGUGAAAUUCCCCAAACAUAGGAAGGCUGUGCAAAAGAUUGCUGGGCAGCUACAAAUGUCCACUAUAGUAAUUACUAAUAGUCCCAUUUUUUUCAGAGCAAAACCAAGGUUGAGGUGAGAGCUGUAAGGGAAGGAAGAAGCCAUCAUUUAAACUCAAUUACUGAUGCUGGAUCCACUUCUGAACCAAUGCACAGAGCCCAGAAAUUCUUUAAGCUCCAAGACAGCUUCACUGCAGUUCGUCCCAUGGGGGUCUCAGAGAUUCCAGGGCUCAGGGAGGAGGACAAUGUAUUUUUUAAAUAUAUUUUUUGUUUUCCUUAUGAUAACAAAAGUGAACAUGUAAUUCUGAUAAAUAACCCUCAUUACCCCAUCAUGCAGUGAUAAACACUCAUAACAUUUUGAUGUAUUUCCCUCCAGAUAUUUUACAUUUGUUAUUUUAAACAAAAAUGAGUUCAUGCUGUACAUGUUAUUUUUAACCUUUGAGGCUUAUAUAUCAGGAUUAUCUUUGCAUGUUAUUAAAUAUUAAUAUUUAAUAUUCUUAAUUUAGUGACUGUAUAGUAGUCUACUGAAUGGAGGAACAUAAUUUAUUAAAUGAUGAUACAUUGCUCUAGAAAUAUAUCCCAUAAUACUUCUAUUUCAGUGGCUCUCCGUUUUUCUUUUUUUUGAGACAGUCUCGCUUUGUCACCCAGGCUGGAGUGCAAUGGCGUGAUCUUUGCUCUCUGCAACCUCCGCUUCCCGGGUUCAAGCAAUUCAGUUGUCCUGCCUCUAUUUCCCAAGUAGCUGGGAUUACAGGUGCCCACAACCACGCCCAGCUAAUUUUUGUAUUUUUAGUAGAGAUGGGGUUUCACCAUGUUGGCCAGGCUGGUCUCGAACUCCUGACCUAGGGUGAUCCACCUGCCUUGGCCUCCCAAAGUGCUGGGGUUACAGGCCUGAGCCACUGUGCCUGGCCGGCUCUCUGCUUCUAAGACUAAAGACAUCAAAGUCAAUUUUUACUGCAUUCCUAAUUUAUAAAGCUAAUCCUUUCCUUAUAUCCACAGUGCCUAGCAUAGAGAAGACAAUCCAAAAAUACUUGAUAAGUGAUUAAAAGAGUGACAUACAUUCAACAUGAAAAAUAUAGUGGAUCAAUUCAAGCCUCAUGUUUCAGAGUUUCAAGAUUUGGAAGUUAAUGUGGAAAAAAGGAAAGGACAUUUGGAAAUAAAUUUUUCCUGUCUUGUGGCUGUCAGACACCUAACUGUUACAGAAGGAAUACCCUGAGAUAGCACAACCGAGAGUGGUCUACGUUCUGCAGGAAACAACUGGUGCAGGCAGUGAAUCUUAAAGCCAUAAAACUGAGAAGCAUUGAAAGUACAAAGGAGCCAUUCUAAACUCCUGACUUAGACUUUUAAUACAACUGAGAUGUGGCACUGCUGCCAAUGAGGAUAAUGACUGAAAAAUCAUGCCUCUGUCCAUUCUUAUAGGUAGAGAGAGAGAGAAAAAAAAACUGAGGAAGAAUGGAUGAACAGAAAAAUAAUGGGAAUAUCUUAAUUUUUAGCCAAAAGCUGUUAAGUUUCCAGCAACCAAUAACCAAAAGAUCCUAUUCACCUUUGGUUCAAAGAGUAGUUCUUAGGCUAAUUUAUUGCAUACCCAGGCAGAUAAGCUCCAUGAGGACAGACACUGGGGUGCCUUGGUUGUCACUCUACCCCUAGUGCCUACAACAAUACUAGGCAUGCCCACAAAAAUUAAAAAUUAAAAAAAAUUUAAAAAGAAAUAAAAAUACAAAAAAUACUGGGCAUGUCACAGGCACUCAGGAAACACCAGUCGAAGGAAUGAAUGAAAGAGACUUCCUUGCCUUUCUUGUAUACUCCAGCCACUCUACAUUUCUUCCAUAGCCCCGACACUUUCAUAGGUGUGUACCUUUGCAUAUAAACCACUCAUUUUAAUACAACAAAUAACAACUGAGCUCCCACUAACCGUUCUGAGCAUGGGAGAUACAUGGACAAAUGGGCACAGAACCUGCCCUUGAGAACUCUUGACUCAUCAGUGUGUUUGCCAGUGCUUCCUAGACUUUAAUGUGCAUAGGAGUGUCCUGGGGAUCUUGUUAAAAUGUGCAUUCUGCUUCAAUAGGUCUGGGGCAGGGCUUGAGACCCUGCAUUUUGAAGAAGCUUCCAGGUGAGGCUGAUGUGCUAGGAGGCACAUUGAGGACAAAGUAUUCCAGCACUUCUGAUUGUAGUAUGACAACCAGGAAGAUGGUUCUGUCAACAGAUACUCAUAGCCUGAUUCCCUGAUUACCACAUAUAGACUUAGCUCUGGUCUUUUUAACCCAAGAGUUGUUUGAGGCCCAGAGUGUGUAUACCUCCCAGCACAGUUGGCCUGAGGCCAGGCAGGAUUACCUUACAGUUCUGCCCAGGUGUGAAAGGGACAGGGUAGAUACGGCCUGGAUGCUGACAGCAGGUGAGAAACUCACAUAUCUUGCAUCAGUCAUAGAAUCAGGGUUUCUUUCUUUUUACCACUGGAGACAGUUGAGCACAUUCUCAUUGUCACAUCUCGUUGAAAUAUUUCAUAAAUCUGCAGGGUAAUCAUUUAAAAUUUAAGUUAUUUCCUUCUAAAAAGUGUUCAGAGAGGAUGUGAAACUGAGCAAAAUGCAAAGGCUUUUUUUCCCCACAUCAUAAAUGUGCUUCCUCAGCAACUAAUACCUUUCAAAUGAUCUGUCACACUUUGCAUAAUUAAAUCACAGUCUCAAUGGCAGCAAAUCACUGCAGGAACAGUAAGAAAACACUAAGAGAAGAUAGAAUAUGAAGGGGAGAAACUUCCUUCGUUAGUAAAUUUUUCUUACAUCAGGCUAAAUACUCCACACCAGUCAAUGAAGGUGGAGCAAAAUUAACUCAAGUUUUUUUUUUUUUGUUUUUUUUUUGAGACAGGGUCUUGCUCUGUCACUCAGGCUGGAGGGCAGUGGUGUGAUCAUGGCUCACUGCAGCCCCCACCUGCCAGGUGCAAGCAAUCCUCCCACCGAGUAGCUGGGACUGCAGGUGCACACCACCAUGCCCAGCUAAUUUUUGUAUGUUUUGUAGAGAUGAGGUUUCACCAUAUUACCCAGGCUGGUCUUGAACUCCUGGCCUCAAGCAACGCCCACCUCGGCCUCCCAAAGUGCUGGGAUUGCAGGUGUGAGCCGCCAUGCCUGGCCUAAACUCUCCAUUUAGAUCCACCAAUAGGAUAUUUAUAGGGCACCAACUGGGGUGGUUCCUGCCCACAAGGGAGCUUAUAGUCUUAUGAACACCAAAAAGUCAAACAGCAAAACAGAGUUCAUCAGUAGUGUUUCAGGAGAACUGUCUAGAUAAUGAUAUAAUUGCAAGUCAGUUAUAAAAAGGAUCACUUCAUGGAGUCAUGUGGAUUCAAACUGCUCAUGUCGUCUUUCUUAAUACCUCAGCCACCCAACAGCACAGGUCUUCAUCCCUUAGACCUGCUCUCCCUCCAAGACUUUGAAUUCAGAGACAGUUCCCACCAUAUCCCCGUUACUCCCUGCUUUUCCUGUACCCCACUCUCUAAGCACACCAGGACUUUUUAUCUUUUGAGACAAUAUAGUGAUUCAGAAGACAGGAACACACAUACUGAAGCCUGACUGGGUUUCUGUGACCUUGGGCAAGUCACCUAACAACUCAGUUUCCUCAUCUGAAGAAUGAGGAUCAUCAUAAUACUAGUUCAUAAGGUUGUGGGGGUGAUGCAUGUGAGCACUGUGUAGGGGUUUGCUGUCCUUACCAGUACUCUCCUUAUUCUCAGUCAUCUCCAGCCAUGCAACUUCCCUCACCUCCUGACUGAUGAUGGUCAGUCGGCCCAUGCCUGCCUUCACAAUGUACAACCCUGAAGACCCAGAAGUUGGUUUUGUCCAUUCCCAUGGCUAGGAUGCCAAGUGUUAUUAGGGGAAAAUGAACCCUUCUUGGUGUGUUGGACAGACUCACUAUGAUACCUGUUCUUUGGAACAGUCACCAGUACACAGAGAUGGGCUGCCAGUGAGCCCUUGUGCUCUGGCUGUAGCUGAUUGUCUAGGAGUGAACAUGUAGCCUAGGCUGGGCCCAUCAUUCCAUCUCCCAGGAAACUGAAUCUGGAAUGGAGGCCUUGACUCGAUCCUGAUCAAUGGCAGAACUUGGGAGAAAGAAUCUCUGACUUCUUGAUGCCAAGUCCCCAGGGACUGCCCUGCCAACCUCGCUUCUCCUGGCUUCUGCUGAGAUACCCCUAUGUCUUUCCAAUAAAUUCCUCUCUCCUCAUACCCUGGUCAGAGUGCACCUCUACCUUUCACAGACCAAAGGAACCUCAGCUGAGGUUGCCAAGAAACAAUGACAGUGAGGUCUUGCACAGAGCCACACUAUUUGAUUUCAGAUGACUUGUCUGUCACUACAGCCCAGCACUUACUGAUCAUCUCUUUUUGACUCCCUGGGACUUUCACCACAGCAGCAGUGGUUUAAAAUUUUCUCCACUCAGGCCUCACCCGACCCUCCUCCACCUCUUCACCUGCUCUUUAGGGCAGUGGUUCUCAACCCUGGCUCCACACUGGAAUCACCCCCAGGGUGCCUGAAAAAUCCUGGUGCCUGGGUCUCAGUGGGUCCUGAUGGGGUGGAGACUGGCCUGAGUUAUUUUCAUUUGUACCCUGGAUAUAGUCCUCUCCCAGUCAGACCAAGACUAUUCUACACAAGCCCCUUCAGCCUUCCGCCUCUCCCUCCAACAGUUUUUACUUUCUAAACCCUUUUUCCCUUCCAUCCAGGUUUAGAGGAUGGCGUGCACCUGCAUUUUGCCAAGACAAGGCCUAAACUGAAGAAGGUGGCCAAUCCUGUCCCUGUCUUCAAUCCCCAGCACCACACGCACACAUUCCUUGGGAAUCACUGGCCUCUCCUCCUUCCAUUUAUUUCCUCAGGCUCCUCAGAGGAGCAGGCUGCAGCCUAAAGAUUCUAUUAUGUGCUAAACCAAGUUAGGAAGCACUAAAGAAUAUAUUUAUCCUCCUGGGCAUAACAUGAUUUAAUCAUUGUAAUUAAGAGUUUUUAAUGAACAGAAAAUGUAAAUAAUAAGAAUAAGAAUAGAAAACAUGUAGUAAAGCACUUACUAUCUGUCAGGCACUGUCCUAUGCACUUUUCAUAUAUAUCUUACCUAAAUCUCCAAGCACCCUGUGAGACAGGAGCUGUUAUUGCCACCUUACUGGUAAAGAAACUGAGUUAUCGCAAGGCUAAGGAGCUUGCCCAAGGACAUAUAGCUGGAAUGUGAUGGAGCUGGGAUGCAAGAAGAUUAUAAUAAACAUUUAGAAAUAGGGCAUUGUAUUUUAUUUAAGAAACAGAUACAUAAAUGUUUUGUUUUCAACUUAAAUGGUUUUUUACAUAUGGUUAACUCUAAGUUUGAUUUUUUAAGUGGCAGUAUGGCCAGGAUUUUAAAAUUAAAGCAGAAAUUAAACAGCUGCUGUCCCUUAGACUACAAUCACUUAUUUCUGUAGUAAUAGCCUUUUUCUUAAAAAAAAAAAAAAAAAAAAAAAGAGAGAGAAUGUAGGAGGGUAAUUGACAGCAUUUUAUAGUCAGUGUGGAGGCCAAAAAUUAUCCAACCUAGUCAUGUCAUAUGCUAAUGUUGAUUAAAUUUAAUGCUGAGAUUUUUCAGCAAGUGAAAAAAAAUUCAAUCUAUUUGUUUCAACCUAAGAGAGACCAUUUAUGGAAUUCUUGCUGUUUGUAAUUGACCACUAUUAGAGAAGGAACUGUGUAAUGCAGCUGCCCUCUGUGAUUAUUUUCUGCUUUCCUUAAUAAAUUACAAUUUACAGUAGCACUCACUAGGAGCACUGUUUGCCGCCCCAGUCUGCAUGGGCAGACGGCAGAAUCACCAAAUGAGCACCAGCAAGGUUGAGAUGAGGCCACCGCGUGCCCACCAUCAUAACCAGUUCACCCAAGUGACAAACAAGCCGAAGCUACCACCUUGGCUAAAAAAAGAAAUUGACUGCUGCUCAAUUAAGCAGAAAUGAGACUGUCACUCAGGGGGGUGGACACUGAGAAUUGCCUUAUUUAGUGCUCAAUAGCAAUUUGGGUUUUUGGAAGUUAUUUUACAGUUGUAAUUACAAAGGGAAAUGAAGUCUGCUUUUGCAGUGUUACCAGGUGCUCUUCCUUCCAUUAUAACCUUGAUGAAUAGCCCCCCAGAGCAAACACACUGGCUGCUCUGCUAACUGGUUUUAUUAUGCAAGUACAGGAUUAAAAGGAAUGCCAUUCAGUUGAGGCAGCAUCUUAAGACCUGGGGACGUCUGUCCCCAUGUAAAACUUCUGGUGAAUGAUUUAAACUAUCUCUACUAGGCCAACAUCCUUUUAAGCUAAGAAAACCACAUUCUAAUCUAGACAUUUGAUAUAAAAAUUAGAUUUCAUGAAAUAGCAUAAACGUAUUGUCGUUAGCUCUUCUCUGCCAUGGAAUCACUGGAGACAAAUGUGAUCAUGUGACAAGGUCCAGGUCCUGAGCUGGCGCAAGAGAGCAGAACUCAGGCUCCACUUCUAACUUUCUAUAGUCAGACCUCAGGGCACACCCUUCACUUUUCUGUGCUCCACUUUUCCCUCCUGUUAAACGGGGUUUUCUAAACGGAAUACUUGUAAGGAGGGCUACUGAGAGAGAUGCUGUGGAAGCAGACCACAGCAGAGUCACGGACUCCUAGAAUGUUGGCGGGGACUUGAGCAGCCAUCCUGUCCAGCCCCCUCUUUGACAGUGGAGGGAACUGAGGCUGGAAGGAGGAGUGACUGCCCAAGGCCACACAGCCACUUUAGUGUAGGGCCAGAGAGGGAAGCAGAUCUCCGAGUCACAGGCCAAGAGCCUCUCCAGGAAAACUUCGAAGCUGAGUGGAAUUCAAUGCAAAAGUCACAACUUCCACCUUAUAUCUGACACACAGUGGGUUGCACAGCAAUCACAGCCUCGAUCUCAGCAAGAAUGCUAGCUGAUGGCCAAAUGAUCAGGAUAUUCCCUCUUGAAAUGGGCAUGAUUGCUGUGCCUAUGUUAAAGAGGGAACCAAUGACAGGACAUAAUUAUUAAGCAUGUGCCAUCUGUCAAGUGCUGCCCUGAUCAGUAAGCUUGCAGAUGGGAUCCCCAUCUCCCCCAAACAAAUGAGGAGAAUGAGAUCCUUCCAUUCCCUUCUGCCUAAAAGUUUCCUCUAAAGCACAGACACAACAAUGGAACUAACCAAUGAAUCUGUGUCUUCCAAGUAUUCCGGAAACUCUACACCUCUGGUGGCCUGAGUGGGAAACCACUUGCAAGAGUUGGGUUGGUGAGCUAAGAGCUAACCUUCUGACCCUGGCAAUAAACAAAUAGUAAAGUUGUCUUUUGCUAGUCAGUACAAAACUCCCUCUCACUGCUCUAAAAACCAUUUGGAAUUGGUCCAACUUGCAUAUCUGUUGGAUGUUUAAGAAAUAGAUUAAGAGGUCAACAGAGAAAACAAGGCAUCUCCAGAUGGUUGUCUAAAUGGACAAUGGUAAGAAGAAAGGAGUGGAGGGGCUAGGGAGUUCAUUGUGGUGGAACAAAAAGGGGCUAAUCAGAUCACGGAAGCAGAGAGAAGCCCAGAGUCACCAGUGGAGGGAGCCUGCGAUUUUUAGGAUUUGUUAAAUCGAGAGUCAUGGAAAAUUCAAGUCAACAGGAUUAAACUAUAUUGGGCAGUGCUUCUUGAACUUUAAAGUGCACAUUAAUUAGCUGGGGAUCUUGUUAAAAUGCCGAUUCUGACUCAGGAAGUCUAGGAUGGGACCUAAAAUUCUGCAUUUCCACAAAGCUCCCAGGUAAUGCUGAUGCUACUGGUCCUCAGACCACACUUACUGGAGUAUUUAAGUCCAUGUGACUGACAAGACAGCUGUAGAGGUAGGCUCCAGGAUACUCAGUCCAGAGGCUCAAUCUCAUCCUUGAGGACCCAGUUUAUUUCCAUUUCUCUGCACUGCUGGCUACAGCUUUGGCUACAGCCAAACAAUGUUUCAUCUAGUGCUCAUGUAACAGCUUCCAGUUGUAAUCUGAGCUACUGGCCUCUUCAUUCUCAUCCGGUGAGAGAAUGCCAAGCAGAGCUCUGGGAAUUCACCCUAACUGGACCAGCUUAGGUCAUAUGCCCACCCAUGAGCCAGUCACUGUCAGAGGAACGGGCUAUGCGAAGUUUGCUUAUGCUCAUCAGGCCCCAUUCCUUGAGUUGGGCAAGGGAGGAGGUUACCCUCAAGCACAAGGGCUUUGUGGGCAAGAGGUGGCUGCCAGAUGAAAAAAUUGGGUGCUGUAGGAAGUAGUAUGGAAGAAUGAACACUGGGUAUUUUCAGUUAAUGAUCCUUUGGUUAUGGUGGUUGGUAAAAAAUGUGAGCAUUAGCGACAUCCCUUGCCAGUCUUGGGUCUUUGGAUGCCCCUAAGCUUUCACUUUGUGUGUGCAAGAUCAUAUUGAGGACUUCACACCCACAAAGGUGUCUGCUAGUGUCACCCACCUACAUCCACCCACACAUACACACUUGUAAACCCCUGGUUAAAGUGGAUGAAAAGGGCUAAGGUCAUCUGUGUUUCAUGAAUGAAAUCUGUUUGCCAGCAUCCUUCUGUACUGUGGACCUCCUUCCGUGCCUCCACCAUUUCCAUUGUCCUGGUACAAGAUCCAAAUGUGUUCUUGGGACCCCAGUAAAGUGUACUUACCCUGUGUUUCAUUUUCCAGGGUGACAACUAGCUGAUCUGAUAACCUGCUUGAUAUCAUGUGUGCCCAGUGGUAAAAUGUGUUACUUCUCCCAAAGGGAUCAUGCUUAGGUUUUAAACUGGUGUCCUCUGCAGCCUCAGCAUCUUGAAUCAAAGGAUUGAGCCCAAUAAUGGGAAUUCAGGCAUCAUGACAGACUCCAGUGGGAAGACAUUUGGGGACAAAGGAGCUUUUGGAGCCCCUUAGGCCACAGUAUGUUGGCAGCCAUGUGUCCUCACCCAGAGGGAAGGGUAGCCAAGAUUGAAGAGAAAAUGCACUUCCAGUUUAAAGGCUAUUUUUCACAGGGGCACAUUCUCUAAUAGAAACACACACACACCGUGACAUAAAAAAGCAUGUUGCUCACGCCUCUAUUUAUUACUGUUACUUUCAGUAUUUAUUUAUUUUCUAUUUUCUAUUUCUGAUAGAACCUCAUAAGAUAAAGUCAAAAUUGGCCAGGCGUGGUGGCUCAUGCCUGUAAUCCCAGCACUUUGGGAGACCAAGGCAGGCGGAUCACCUGAGGUCAGGAGUUCAAGACCAGCCUGACCAACAUGGAGAAACCCCGUCUGUACUAAAAAUAGAAAAAUUAGCCGGGUGUGGUGGUGCAUGCCUGUAAUCCCAGCUACUCAGAAGGCUGAGGCAGGAGAAUCACUUGAACCCAGGAGGUGGAGGUUGCAGUGAGCCGAGAUCGUGCCAUUGCAUUCCAGCCUGGGUAACAAGAGUGAAACUCCAUAUCAAAAAAUAAAUAAAUAAAUAAGGUCAAAAUUAAAAAUUAAAAGAGUGUUUUGAGGAUGACAUCAUUUUGUCUGUACAUUCUAUCAGAUAUCCAUUGAAGUAGCCAAGGUAGCCAGCUGCAUUAGGGCUGGGACCCUGCCAGGUCUCCCUAGAGAGGCCAGGAACAAGGAUACUGAGGGUCUCCUGUGUAGUUACCUCAUCAGCUCUGACUUGGGAUCCAGAAGGACCCCGUGCCAAGCAGGAGUUAGAAUGAUCUUUGUACCCCAAGUCAUCCUGCACUUUUCUUUGUCCCCCUAAGCUGGCGAGAAAACUAUUUAGAUUUCCAUUUUAAAAUGUGGUAAGUUUUGCUUCACACUGGUUUAAAUUAUUGCAUAUUAGACCAGUAAGAGAAGAGUUUCAGAUAUAAGUUGAGAUCCUAAAACAUUCCCAGAAUCUGCCUCCGCAGUAAGCUGUCAAAGGUGCUAUUUUGUUCAGAAAACUACUGGAGGUAAUUUUCAGUUCUUAGAUCUGGCUGAGGGCAUAUUAUAAAAAGUUAAGAGUUGAAGGAGGAGACAGUUUUUGUCUUCUUUCCUCAAAAUGGACAGUAUUCUAUUGAAAAGACACAGGAGCUCAUGUGAUUCCCAAAGCUCCAGUGAGUGUUAGUUUGGGGCCUUUCUUCUUCUGCCCUGGAGAACAGAAGGGAGGCCUGGAGCAGUGGGCCAUAGGGAAGUUUCCUUUCUUACUCCAAGAAGUGCAGUCAGCUGCGCCUGCCAGGAAGCUGUUAGGAUGGGAACUUUAUCUUCGGGGAGUGCUUAUACCUUUCUAGCUGUGGAUACAACUGUACACAGGAGGAAAGAGUCAAGUGUAACUCCCUAUGAAAGAAAAAAAAUUUAAAGAUAAGAACUAAGAGAUGGAUACUGAAUUGUUCCUAGAUACAUAUUUUAAACUCUUGCUUUCAUAAAACCAGUCUCUAAAAUGACAUUUAAUAAGGGAAGACAGCUGCCUUAGAGGGCCAGAGGCUUGGGCUUUGGUGCCAUUUCUGCUGUUUACUGCUGUGUGCCUUUAGAAAGGCCACUUAACCCAGUAGAGUGACCAGCUCAUCCUGAUUUUUAUGCUGAAAGUCCCAUGUGCCUGGAAACCCCUCAGUCCCAGGCAAAUCAAGGUGGGCCUUGCUGGGUCUCCCUUUACUCACUGAUAAAAUAUGCAAGUUGGAUUAGUUUUUUUUUUUUUUUUUUUUUGAGACAAAGUCUUGCUCUGUCACCCAGGCUGGAGUAUAAUGACGUGAUCUCAGCUCACUGUAACCUCCGCCUCCCAGGCUCAAGUGAUUCUCCUGCCUUGGCCUCCCAAGUAGCUGGGAUUACAGGCACCUGCCACUACCACCCGGCUAAUUUUUGUAUUUUUAGUAGAGACAGGGUUUCACCAUGUUGGCCAGGCUGGUCUCGAACUCCUGACCUCAAAUGAUCCACCAGCCUCGGCCUCCCAAACUGCUGGGAUUACAAGUGUGAGCCACCACACCUAGCCAGAUUAGAUUGUUUCUUAAGUCCCUGUUAGCUGCAGAAAAAACUGAUUACCUUAAAUUGUUCUAUUAUUUUGUUUAUUUACAUAUAAUGGACUAUUUUUACUAAAGGAUUUGGGGCAGCUUAUAGAGAAUAAGCAGUAUAAAAUAGAAAAUAGAUUUUAAAAAGCAGGGCCAGUAAAAACAUAUAGAAUAGAAGAACAAGGCCAAGGUUCAAGCUGAAGCAGAGAGAUGCUGGACAUUGAUCCAAUAACUAUUACAAUUGAGUGGCAAAUCUGGCUCUGAGCUUCCUGGCAGUCAAAGCAAAAAAACAAAACAAAACAAAAAGCCUAAUCUAUAAUAUGAUUCAUUGUGCAUGAGGAAAAGUAUUAAUUUCUCAGGGGAAUAAAAGAUUUUCCUGGGAUUUGGUCUGAAAGAAAUUUUACACAUGCAUCUUUAUAUAGAGGAUAUUGAAUUGGUUCAGAAACACUGACUUAACAACGUCUUAACAGUAAAUGCAAUAAUGACCU